AUUGAACGCUGGCGGCAUGCCUUACACAUGCAAGUCGAACGGCAGCACGGGAGCAAUCCUGGUGGCGAGUGGCGAACGGGUGAGUAACGCAUCGGAACGUGCCCAGUCGUGGGGGAUAGCCCGGCGAAAGCCGGAUUAAUACCGCAUACGACCUAAGGGUGAAAGCGGGGGACCGAAAGGCCUCGCGCGAUUGGAGCGGCCGAUGUCAGAUUAGGUAGUUGGUGGGGUAAAGGCCCACCAAGCCGACGAUCUGUAGCUGGUCUGAGAGGACGACAAGACACACUGGGACUGAGACACGGCCCAGACUCCUACGGGAGGCAGCAGUGGGGAAUUUUGGACAAUGGGCGCAAGCCUGAUCCAGCCAUGCCGCGUGCGGGAAGAAGGCCUUCGGGUUGUAAACCGCUUUUGUCGGGGAAGAAAUGCUCCGGGAUAAUACCCUGGGGAGAUGACGGUACCCGAAGAAUAAGCACCGGCUAACUACGUGCCAGCCGCCGCCGUAACAC
rnacentral:rRNA from 1 species